AAACAACCGACAAUUAACGUCGACUAACACCAAGCCAGCACUGAGCGGCGUGGACAACUCACUUCGUGUGUGCGCAAGCACGACGUCUGGGCCAGUUUCCCCUCAGCCACGACUCAGAAUCCACAACAACUGAGGUACCAUCACGAUCGUGAGAGUACCGUAUGCAACAAUGACCGUGCUGUAACCUCUCUUGAACCGGGAGCUUCGACUCGUCACCUCUUGCAAGAACUAUUAUCUACCCGGAGCAAUCAAAAUGUCUACAGAAGACUGUUUAACAUCACCUCACCAUCAGGAUGCUGAUGUUUGUGAUGAAGAGGACUUGAUUGGACUUGCUACCACCACUUGUGAUAUGUCCGGUGUCUCUGGUGGAUCUUCUCAUGAUGACCAGCAACAGCUGCACUUGAGCAAUGCUAAAUUUAAGGAGGAAGUUUUGAAUGCUGAAGCCAGAUGUCAACUCAAUAGCCAAGAUGCAGUCGAUGACUUUUUCUGCACCAGUGAGUUUUAUGAGGAUGAAGAAAGUAACGAAGAAGUACAUCUGAUCAAUUACAUGAAGAUGGCAGCAUCGCCUAUUUAUGAUAUAAUGUGUGGCGAUGAGAUUAAUAACAGUGCAGAUGAUUCUGAUAGUGAUGCUAUCUCACCAUUGCCAAAAUUUAAUAGCUUAUCUGUUUCAGCACUUAACGAUUAUAUUGUCAGUGGUACUGGUUCCGAAUCAAAACCAAUUGUAGAUAAACCAUACCACGAGCCAUCUAAGGGAUGGACAACUGAAAGCUGUGCAGAUGUACUAAGACAUGAAGCAGCUUAUGAAGCAUUCAAUUCAUGUCACCCAAACACAAAUUUCCGAGAAUCUCAGGGUCCAUAUAAAGAUGUACUCAGAAAUGAAAACAAUUUAAUGCUGGAAAACUAUGAGCAAGACAAAAUUGUUGAGUUGCCUGGCAUUGGUAAUGAAGAGGUUAGAGAAAAUAAUUUUUGUUGUACAGCCAGUCCAUCCAAUGCAAAUCCUAAAGCAGAGAAAGGCAUGCAAUAUGGUGCACAUUUCAGUGACGGA